GACGAACGCUGGCGGCGUGCUUAACACAUGCAAGUCGAGCGGUAAGGCCCUUUCGGGGUACGACGAGCGGCGAACGGGUGAGUAACACGUGGGUGACCUGCCCUCAGCUCUGGGAUAAGCCUGGGAAACUGGGUCUAAUACUGGAUAUGACUCCACGGUGCAUGUCGUGGGGUGGAAAGCCUUGUGCGGCUGAGGAUGGGCCCGCGGCCUAUCAGCUUGUUGGUGGGGUGANGGGCCCUACCAAGGCGACGACGGGUAGCCGGCCUGAGAGGGCGACCGGCCACACUGGGACUGAGACACGGCCCAGACUCCUACGGGGAGGCAGCAGUGGGGAAUCUUGCGCAAUGGGCGAAAGCCUGACGCAGCGACGCCGCGUGAGGGAUGACGGCCUCGG
rnacentral:rRNA from 1 species